GGACCGACCCUGCGCAACAGAAAAAUGCGAACCCCGCCAGGUCCGGAAGGAAGCAACGGUAAGCAUCCAUUUCUGUGUGUUGCAGAAGGUCGGUCCCUU
rnacentral:SRP_RNA from 1 species